AGCGAACGCUGGCGGCAGGCCUAACACAUGCAAGUCGAGCGCCCGUAGCAAUACGGGAGCGGCAGACGGGAGAGUAACACGUGGGAACGUACCCUUCAGUUCGGAACAACCCAGGGAAACUUGGGCUAAUACCGAAUACGUCCGUAAGGAGAAAGAUUUAUCGCUGAAGGAUCGGCCCGCGUCUGAUUAGCUAGUUGGUGAGGUAAUGGCUCACCAAGGCGACGAUCAGUAGCUGGUCGAGAGGAUGAUCAGCCUCACUGGGACUGAGACACGGCCCAGACUCCUACGGGAGGCAGCAGUGGGGAAUAUUGGACAAUGGGCGCAAGCCUGAUCCAGCCAUGCCGCGUGGGUGAUGAAGGCCCUAGGGUUGUAAAGCCCUUUCGGCGGGGAAGAUAAUGACGGUACCCGCAGAAGAAGCCCCGGCUAACUUCGUGCCAGCAGCCGCGGUAAG
rnacentral:rRNA from 1 species